AGCGAACGCUGGCGGCAGGCCUAACACAUGCAAGUCGAACGGAGUGGCGGACGGGUGAGUAACACGUGGGAACGUGCCCUUUGGUUCGGAACAACUCCGGGAAACUUGAGCUAAUACCGGAUGCCAUUGGAGCGGCCCGCGUCUGAUUAGCUAGUUGGUGAGGUAAAGGCUCACCAAGGCGACGAUCAGGAGCUGGUCUGGGAGGAUGAUCAUCCACAUUGGGACUGAGCCACGGCCCAAACUCCUACGGGAGGCAGGAGUGGGGAAUCUUGCGCAAUGGGCGAAAGCCUGACGCAGCCAUGCCGCGUGAAUGAUGAAGGUCUUAGGAUUGUAAAAUUCUUUCACCGGGGACGCGGUACCCGGAGAAGAAGCCCCGGCUAACUUCGUGCCAGCCGCCGCGGUAAUAC
rnacentral:rRNA from 1 species